GCUGGGCGUGGUGGCGCACGCCUGUAGUCCCAGAUACUCAGGAGGCUGAGGCAGAAGAAUUGCUUGAACCUGGGAGGCGGAGGUUGCAGUGAGCUGAGAUUGUUCCACCGUUCUCCAGCCUGGGUGACAGAGUGAGACUCUGUCUCAA
rfam:Homo sapiens chromosome 12, GRCh38 reference primary assembly.